rnacentral:rRNA from 1 species
AUUGAACGCUGGCGACAUGCCUUACACAUGCAAGUCGAACGGCAGCACGGGUGCUUGCCCCUGGUGGCGAGUGGCGAACGGGUGAGUAAUACAUCGGAACAUGUCCUGUAGUGGGGGAUAGCCCGGCGAAAGCCGGAUUAAUACCGCAUACGAUCUACGGAUGAAAGCGGGGGACCUUCGGGCCUCGCGCUAUCGGGUUGGCCGAUGGCUGAUUAGCUAGUUGGUGGGGUAAAGGCCUACCAAGGCGACGAUCAGUAGCUGGUCUGAGAGGACGACCAGUCACACUGGGACUGAGACACGGCCCAGACUCCUACGGGAGGCAGCAGUGGGGAAUUUUGGACAAUGGGCGAAAGCCUGAUCCAGCAAUGCCGCGUGUGUGAAGAAGGCCUUCGGGUUGUAAAGCACUUUUGUCCGGAAAGAAAUCCUUGGCCCUAAUACGGUCGGGGGAUGACGGUACCGGAAGAAUAAGCACCGGCUAACUACGUG